UACGUAGGCAGCAAGCGUUGUUCGGAGUUACUGGGCGUAAAGAGUGCGUAGGUGGUGCCCUAAGUCUGUUGUGAAAUCUCCCGGCUUAACUGGGAGGGUGCGGUGGAAACUGGGGUGCUUGAGUGUGGGAGAGGUAAGCGGAAUUCCUGGUGUAGCGGUGAAAUGCGUAGAUAUCAGGAGGAAUACCGGUGGCGAAGGCGGCAUCCUGGACCGGCAUUGACGCUGAGGAGCGAAAGCUAGGGGAGCAAACGGG
rnacentral:rRNA from 1 species